rnacentral:snoRNA from 1 species
ACAAAAGUGAGGAGGCAGUUUAUAAGAUUGUCUCUUCAUGGGAAAGAACUUUGAGGUAUAUCAAAAUCAAAGGCCGAGAUAUCGUUUUAGUCGUCAUUUCCUCCAUUGGCGGUCUGAUUGUUGCUCGUCCACAC